CGAAUUAGAGGCAGAGGAAGAGCCAGAGGAGUUUUUGCUGGGACAAAUACUGGUCCAAACAACUCAAAUACUACUUUUCAAAAGAGACCGAAGGAAGAGGAAUGGGAUCCAGAAUAUACCCCAAAGAGCAAGAAGUACUUCUUGCAUGACGACAGAGAUGAUGGUGUGGAUUAUUGGGCCAAAAGAGGAAGAGGUCGUGGUACUUUUCAACGUGGCAGAGGGCGCUUUAACUUCAAAAAAUCAGGUAGCAGUCCUAAAUGGACUCAUGACAAAUACCAAGGGGAUGGGAUUGUUGAAGAUGAAGAAGAGACCAUGGAAAAUAAUGAAGAAAAGAAGGACAGACGCAAGGAAGAAAAGGUAUAAAAUUUCAACUUGUGAUUCUGACAGAUUUUUUUUGAUAUAGGUUUGGUGGGUGAAUUAUUUCAUUUUUAGGAACAAUUAUUAAUAUGGUUCCUUUUCACUCUCCGCAUCUUUUGUUAAUCUUUAAUUUUUUCUCUCUCUUUUAGGAAUAAUAAAUAUGAAGUAAGAUUACAACAGAGCAGAACUUGCACCCACCAUUUUUUUUACCUGAUUUUUGUUUUCAAAUAAGAAUGUAAGCAUUUUACUUAAAUUUUACUGUUUGCAAGUAGUCUAUAGAAAUUUUGUUUUAAGUCUUCAAAUAUCUUGAGAAAUAGUAGACUGUAUGUUGAAAAUUGUACUGAAAUAAAGUAGAAAAUUGUUACGUACCAUAUUUGUAACUAUCAACUUUUAAAACUUUUAACGUUUUUGUUACAUGCAUUGUAAUUCUGCUUUGUCUAUAAGAUAUGGUCAAGUACAGCUCUGUGAAAGUUCUGAUUCUCUUCCUUCCCUGUUUGUCAAUGUUUUAUUCUGAAGUAAACGUUAGCUCUACAUAUAAAUCCUGGAACAGAAAUUGUUUAUAGAGACUACACUAAUUAUUUUAACUGUAUACAUCUGUUUAAUUUGAACACACUACAUCGUAGGGUGACUGAUUUUUGAAGUAUACCACAGACAAAAAGUUGUUACUAUGGUAAACUAAGCUAGUUUAACACUUGAGCAAAUGCUUAAGAAGGAA
rnacentral:lncRNA from 1 species